rnacentral:rRNA from 1 species
CGUACACUCCUGCGGGAGGCAGCAGUGGGGAAUAUUGCACAAUGGGCGCAAGCCUGAUGCAGCCAUGCCGCGUGUAUGAAGAAGGCCUUCGGGUUGUAAAGUACUUUCAGCGGGGAGGAAGGCAAUACGGUUAAUAACCGUGUUGAUUGACGUUACCCGCAGAAGAAGCACCGGCUAACUCCGUGCCAGCAGCCGCGGUAAUACGGAGGGUGCAAGCGUUAAUCGGAAUUACUGGGCGUAAAGCGCACGCAGGCGGUCUGUCAAGUCGGAUGUGAAAUCCCCGGGCUCAACCUGGGAACUGCAUUCGAAACUGGCAGGCUUGAGUCUUGUAGAGGGGGGUAGAAUUCCAGGUGUAGCGGUGAAAUGCGUAGAGAUCUGGAGGAAUACCGGUGGCGAAGGCGGCCCCCUGGACAAAGACUGACGCUCAGGUGCGAAAGCGUGGGGAGCAAACAGGAUUAGAAACCCUGGUAGUCCC